AACGAACGCUGGCGGCAGGCCUAACACAUGCAAGUCGAACGCGUGUAGCAAUACACGAGUGGCGCACGGGUGAGUAACGCGUGGGAACCUACCUAAAGGUACGGAAUAACCAACCGAAAGGAUGGCUAAUACCGUAUACGCCCUCCGGGGGAAAGAUUUAUCGCCUUUAGACGGGCCCGCGUCGGAUUAGCUAGUUGGUGAGGUAAUGGCUCACCAAGGCUACGAUCCGUAGCUGGUCUGAGAGGAUGAUCAGCCACACUGGAACUGAGACACGGUCCAGACUCCUACGGGAGGCAG
rnacentral:rRNA from 1 species